rnacentral:rRNA from 1 species
CCUGGUUGAUCCUGCCAGUAGUCAUACGCUUGUCUCAAAGAUUAAGCCAUGCACGUCUAAGUUUAAGCAAUUUAAACAGUGAAACUGCGAAUGGCUCAUUAUAUCAGUUAUAGCCUAUUUGAUAGUACCUUACUAGUUGGAUAUCCGUAGUAAUUCUAGAGUUAAUACAUGCUUGAAGAUGUGUUUUUAUAAUACAUUGCAUUUAUUAGAUUGAAACUAAUUUUAAAGUUGAGUCAUAAUAACUGUGCGGAUCGUUUUGUAAAAAGCGAUGAAUCAAUUGGGUUUCUGCCCUAUCAGUUUUGGAUGGCUGUGUAUUGGACAGCCAUGACAUUAACGGGUAACGGGGAAUUGGGGUUUGAUACCGGAGAGGGCGCCUUAGAAAUGGCGACCACAUCCAAGGAAGGCAGCAGGCGCGUAAAUUACCCAAUCCUAAUUCUAGGGAGGUAGUGACUAGAAAUAACGAUUCGAGAUGCUUUGCAUUUUGAAAUUGGAAUGAGAACAAUUUAAAUCCCUUAUCGAGGAUCAAUUGGAGGGCAAGUCUGGUGCCAGCAGCCGCGGUAAUUCCAGCUCCAAUAGCGUAUAUUAAAGUUGUUGCAGUUAAAAAGCUCGUAGUUGGAUUUCUGGAGGAAGGGAGAAGUCCGACCUUUUAUGGUGGGUACUGCUCCUCUUCCGCCAUCUUUGGGUCUAAGCAGUCUGGCAUUAAGUUGUCGGGCUGGGGAUACCCAUCGUUUACUGUGAAAAAAUUAGAGUGUUCAAAGCAGGCUUAUGCCGUUGAAUAUAUUAGCAUGGAAUAAUGAGAUAGGACUUUUCUGCUAUUUUGUUGGAGUAUAAUGAAAUAUUUAGAUGGUCAACAUAAAUAAAUCACAGCAUCUAUCUAAAAAACGAAGAAAAAAUAUUAAUAUGGGUAAAACCCAAAAGGAUGUUACAAGCGACAUUAAAAAACAAGUAAAAGCCAAUAUGCAGAGAAAUAUAACACCUAAAGUUCUUGCUCUAUAUUUAUCAGUUAAAGCGCCAACCCAAACCAUGACAAUUGCAGAACAUGUUGUGCUUAGCGCAUAAACACUACCCCACUGUC